GAUGAACGCUGGCGGCGUGCCUAAUACAUGCAAGUCGAGCGAACGGACGAGAAGCUUGCUUCUCUGAUGUUAGCGGCGGACGGGUGAGUAACACGUGGAUAACCUACCUAUAAGACUGGGAUAACUUCGGGAAACCGGAGCUAAUACCGGAUGAUAUUUUGAACCGCAUGGUUCAAAAGUGAAAGACGGUCUUGCUGUCACUUAUAGAUGGAGCCGCGCUGCAUUAGCUAGUUGGUAAGGUAACGGCUUACCAAGGCAACGAUGCAUAGCCGACCUGAGAGGGUGAUCGGCCACACUGGAACUGAGACACGGUCCAGACUCCUACGGGAGGCAGCAGUAGGGAAUCUUCCGCAAUGGGCGAAAGCCUGACGGAGCAACGCCGCGUGAGUGAUGAAGGUCUUCGGAUCGUAAAACUCUGUUAUUAGGGAAGAACAUAUGUGUAAGUAACUGUGCACAUCUUGACGUUACCUAAUCAGAAAGCCACGGCUAACUACGUG
rnacentral:rRNA from 1 species